UUGCCUGUUUAUCAAAAACAUGUCUAUUUGAAGAUAUAAAAAGUCUAGCCUGCUCACUGAAUUAUUUUUAAGAGCCGCGGUAUUUCUGACUGUGCAAAGGUAGCAUAAUCGUUAGUUUUUUAAUUAAAUCUUGUAUGAAUGGUUUGACAAAAAAAAGACUGUCUUUGUAAUUAUUAAUUGAAUUUAACUUUUAAGUGAAAAGGCUUAAAUAAAUUAAAAAGACGAUAAGACCCUAUAAAGCUUUAUAUUAAUUUAUUAUUUAAUAAAAUUUUUCGAUAUAAAUGUUUGGUAAUAAAUUUUAUUUUAUUGGGGUGAUAAUGGUAAAAUGAUUAAUAACUGUUAAUUUAACUAAAACAAAAAUAAAUGAAUGAGAAUUAAUAAAUUAAAUAAAUGAUCCUAUUUAGAGAUUUAAAGUUUAAGUUACUUUAGGGAUAACAGCGUAAUUUUUNNNNNNNNNNCUUAUCGAGAAAAAAGUUUGCGACCUCGAGNNNNNNNNNNNNNAUCUAUAUAAUUGUAGCAGUUAUAUARGAAGGUCUGUUCGACC
rnacentral:rRNA from 1 species